GGAAAGAAAGGGAUUC
rnacentral:tRNA from 7 species